ACCGGCAGGUCGGGCAUUUCGGGUCGCCUCCGAACGGCCAGUUUGAGCAUCCAUUUUUAGCUAGACAGUCACAGCCCAUCCAUAGAAUGGGGGCACCAGUGCAUAAUUCAGUACCAAAUUACAUUGAGGAUUUGGAAUCAGCCAAUGCAACUGGAGGAAGAAAAGUCCUCACUUUAUUUCCCACUGGGGAUGAUUGAUCUUUGUGUUCUAUUCCUAAUUCUUGUGGAAAAUUGUUGUUGAGAUGUCAAGCCGAGGUUCAUAAAAUCCAAGAACCUUCUGCUUCUUGUGUAUGUGUUGAUCAGGGUGGAAGAGGUUCAUAUGUUGAUAUGGUUAGGGAAGAUGAAGAAGCAACCAGCCGAGUUUUAUUUUUCGUUUCUGGAGCUUGAGAGACAGCAGAUCGAUAAUGCGGGCGGGCACGGGAUAUCUAUCUAUCCCUAGGUCAGUUUUCUGCAGAGAUAGUAUCUCUCUCACUUGUAUAUUAUUAAAGGUUCAAAAAACUCAUAAUAUGUGAGCAUCUAUUUUAACAAUUCUGAGUUCAUUAGAAUGUUGGUGCAUUGUAAACUGUUACAUGAACAUUUUGAUGUGAUCAUCUUGACAUCUUAGUAAAUAAAUCCAUAUUCUUAACCGCCUUGCUUUA